UUUAACCGUAACCAUGAGUUUCCGUGUCCACUUUAAUCGUUUGUCUUAUUUAAAAUUUUUUUAUGAUUACUAUUUUUGUUGUUAUUAGAAGAUAAAACAUGAAUAGUACUUUUUAUGUGACUUAUGUUUUAAUUUUUUUUAAAAAAAAAUUAAAAUAAGACGGACGAUUAAAAGUUGGAAAAAAAACUCAUGGCUGUGCUUAAA
rfam:Oryza glumipatula chromosome 4, whole genome shotgun sequence.